UGUAAGCGUAUACCAAAGUUGUUGCAGUUAAAACGCUCGUAGUCGGAAUUUGGCAGUUCCGGAUGUGUGCACGUCGUGUGCGCACUUCGCGGGGAUUGCUUUUGUGGUCUUGCGUAGGAUGAGGCACUUUUAUUAGUGAACGUCCUCACGCAACCACUUUUUACUGUGAGAAAAUCAGAGUGCUCAAAGCAGGCAUCUGCCGUGAAUGCAUUAGCAUGGAAUAAUAGAAUAGGACUUGGUUCUAUUUUGUUGGUUUGUUGGGACUGAGUAAUGAUUAAGAGGGACAGUUGGGGGCAUUUGUAUUUCGGUGCUAGAGGUGAAAUUCUUAGAUUACCGAAAGACAAACUGCUGCGAAAGCGUCUGCCAAGGAUGUUUUCAUUGA
rnacentral:rRNA from 1 species